rnacentral:rRNA from 1 species
UGGGGAAUUUUCCGCAAUGGGCGAAAGCCUGACGGAGCGACGCCGCGUGGGUGAAGAAAUCUUUCGGGAUGUAAAGCCCUGUCAGAGGGGAAGAAAAAAGUGACGGUACCCUCGGAGGAAGCAUCGGCUAACUACGUGCCAGCAGCCGCGGUAAUACGUAGGAUGCGAGCGUUGUUCGGAAUUACUGGGCGUAAAGAGUACGUAGGCGGUGAUGUAAGUCUGAUAUUAAAGACAACAGCUCAACUGUUGGAGUGUAUCAGAGACUGCAUUGCUAGAGGGUAAUAGAGGAAGUUGGAAUUCUCAGUGUAGCGGUGAAAUGCGUAGAUAUUGGGAAGAACACCAGCGGCGAAAGCGGACUUCUGGGUUACUACUGACGCUGAGGUACGAAAGCGUGGGGAGC